rnacentral:rRNA from 1 species
GAUGAACGCUAGCUACAGGCUUAACACAUGCAAGUCGUGGGGCAUCAUGAUGUAGUAAUACAUUGAUGGCGACCGGCGCACGGGUGAGUAACGCGUAUCCAACCUACCCUCCACUCAAGUAUAGGCUUCCGAAAGGGAGAUUAAUCCUUGAUAUCGUCAUUCUCUCUCCUGUUAGAAUGAUAAAAGGACAUCGUUUCGGUAGAGGAUGGGGAUGCGUUCCAUUAGGUAGUAGGUGGUUUAACAGGCCACCUAGCCGAUGAUGGAUAGGGGUUCUGAGAGGAAUAUCCCCCACACUGGUACUGAGAUACGGACCAGACUCCUACGGGAGGCAGCAGUGAGGAAUAUUGGUCAAUGGGCGCAAGCCUGAACCAGCCAUGUAGCGUGAAGGAUGACGGUUUUUUUGAUUGUAAACUUCUUUUCUGUGCGAUUAAAGUGUGGCAUUUAUGCCAUAUUGCAGUAUCUCAGGAAUAAAG